GACGAACGCUGGCGGCGUGCUUAACACAUGCAAGUCGAACGGAAAGGCCCCUUUGGGGGUACUCGAGUGGCGAACGGGUGAGUAACACGUGAGUAACCUGCCCUUGACUUCGGGGUAACUUCAGGAAACUGGGGCUAAUACCGGAUAGGAAUCCUUGCUGCAUGGUGGGGGUUGGAAAGCUUCGGCGGUUUUGGAUGGACUCGCGGCGUAUCAGCUUGUUGGUGGGGUAGUGGCUUACCAAGGCUUUGACGGGUAGCCGGCCUGAGAGGGCGACCGGCCACAUUGGGACUGAGAUACGGCCCAGACUCCUACGGGAGGCAGCAGUGGGGAAUAUUGCACAAUGGGCGGAAGCCUGAUGCAGCAACGCCGCGUGCGGGAUGACGGCCUUAGGGUUGUAAACCGCUUUCAGCAGGGGCGAAGCUUGUGGUGACGGUACCUGCAGAAGAAGCACCGGCUAACUACGUG
rnacentral:rRNA from 1 species